rnacentral:rRNA from 1 species
GACGAACGCUGGCGGCGUGCUUAACACAUGCAAGUCGAACGGAAAGGCCCUGCUUGUGUGGGGUGCUCGAGUGGCGAACGGGUGAGUAACACGUGAGUAUCCUGCCCUUUACUUUGGGACAACUUCAGGAAACCGGUGCUAAUACCGGCUAGGAGCUCCUGCUGCAUGGUGGGGGUUGGAAAGUUUCGGCUGUUGGGGAUGGACUCGCGGCUUAUCAGCUUGUUGGUGGGGGAGUGGCCUACCAAGGGUUUGAAGGGUAGCCUGCCUGGGAGGGUGGCCGGCCACAUUGGGACUGAGAUAGGGACCAGACUGCAACGGGAGGCAGCAGUGGGGAGUAUUGCACAAUGGGCGGAAGCCUGAGGCAGCAACGCCGCGUGCGGGAAGACGGCCUUCGGGGUGUAAACCGCUUUCGCCUGUGACGAAGCGUGAGUGACGGUAAUGGGUAAAGAAGCACCGGCUAACUACGUG